ACCAAUGUCCAUGAAUAGACUUGCUAAUUUAACAAGGCAACGUCGGGUGAUUGCUCCAAAUGUCUCGAAUAAGUAUCCAUUGGUUUCGAAUGCAACAAAAGAAAAACAAUCUAGAUCAAAGACUAGUAUGGGUGACUUAAUCUUGAGGAAUAGGACCGCAAAGGGAAAGAGAGGUAUUCAAACAAAAUGCGGAAAAGCAUAAUUGUAUCAUAAGUGGAGCAAAGAGACAAUUGACUCUUGUUGAUGAGGAUGAGGAUGAUGAGAUAUCUCAAGCUGAUAUGGAGCAAUUUGGUUUGAAAGAUAAUGUUAAUGAAGGACGUCUUGCGCAAUGUGAAGAAGAUGAUGUUGAUCAAAAUGAUGACCAUGAAGACAUGGACCAUUUGAAAUAUGCAAAUAUUGAAAAUGAGAUUGAAGUUGAUGAUAGCGAUGACGAUUUGGGAAAUGAGGAUGAUGUACUUUUUGAAGAACAA